rnacentral:rRNA from 1 species
CCUACGGGAGGCAGCAGUGAGGAAUAUUGGUCAAUGGACGAGAGUCUGAACCAGCCAAGUAGCGUGAAGGAUGACUGCCCUCUGGGUUGUAAACUUCUUUUAUAUGGGAAUAAAACGUUUCACGUGUGGGAUUUUGUAUGUACCAUAUGAAUAAGGAUCGGCUAACUCCGUGCCAGCAGCCGCGGUAAUACGGAGGAUACGAGCGUUAUCCGGAUUUAUUGGGUUUAAAGGGAGCGUAGGUGGAUUGUUAAGUCAGUUGUGAAAGUUUGCGGCUCAACCGGAAAAUUGCAGAUGAAACUGGCAGUCUUGAGUACAGUAGAGGUGGGCGGAAUUCGAGGUGUAGCGGUGAAAUGCUUAGAUAUCACGAAGAACUCCGAUUGCGAAGGCAGUUCACUGGACUGCAACUGACACUGAAGCACGAAAGCGUGGGUAUCGAACAGGAUUAGAUACCCGAGUAGUC